ensembl:piRNA 21ur-1704 ncRNA
AAAAUACUAUUUGAUGUGUCC